ACCAAUAAUCUCUCUAACAUGAAAAUAUGACCGCCGUGUUCUUCUGCCAAGAAUUUGUCGGGGGCUCCCCAUCAUUGGUAGAGCCCCUCAUGAUCCGGCCCCAGACUGUUAGUCUCAUCGACAUUCUUGCCCAUGUGCUCCACACUGGAUGGUACUCAGCUCCUGGCUCGUGUGAGAUCCAACUAGGUUCCCUCAAGAUUCUUCAGGUCUCAGUUGAAUACUUGUCUCCUCCAUGGAACCUUUCAUAACUUUCUGAGACGGAUUUGCCCUUCCUUCAUUGUUUUUGAGCUUAUUUCGAUUUAAAACCUUGAUAUUGUACUAUAAUUAUUUCUAUGCAAAUAUAACUGACAGAGCAACCCCCACCCCCACUCUUGAAAAAAUAAUUUGAACCAUGGGUCAUAGACUCAUGCCUUCCUCAUUAGGAGAUUACAGAAGAAUUGCCCAUGCAGUUCGCCUGUUCAAGAGUUUGACUAAACCAUGACUGUACACAUUUUUAAUCAUAUUAUUUCAAACUUCCUGCCGGUUCUUGGCAUAUCUAAGUACUGAGUUUUAAGUGAAAGACAUGUAAUAGGUCACAAGUUCAGUGUCAAGAGGUCAGUCUGAAGCAAACAUGGAGAAAAGGAAAAUGGACAUUGUCGUGCAUAUGACAGAAAUAUGCAUUUUAAAACACAUGUGACACCUACGUUGUAACAUUUGGAACAACAAAGAUUCCCAGAAAACUUUACAGGUGACAUCACAGCAUGGGUUUUAAACGUCUUGCCUCUGAGAAUCAUUAUUUGUCCUUGAGGACUGUGGGUGUGUCUAACGCAAUAGUUAUUUUUUGGAUGAACCCAAAUUUACGGAGAAGGAUCUCUGCACCUCACGCUGGGAUAAGAUCACACAAGGGGAUAGACUUGGCGCACCAAAGACCGCCUCAGUGUUCAACUGAGGCCUGCCCGGAGUUUACAUCACUGUGGCAUCACCCUUGUACACCUGUUAACACUGCUCUGGAGUGACUAUAACUCAGACUUUGGGAAAUGCGCUGCCUCGUGCCUGACCCACCCUGUCACCCUUGAAAUGUACAGUCACCGAGAGAACAGGGUGACGACACCUGGAAAGAAGCUGCCUUGACUGACGGCGCUCCUGGACGGCCGCUGUCACUGUCAGAGCUCAGGUGUGCUCCACGGAUAGAUACCCUUUCGACCCGAGCAGCUUCUCACGGUCAGACGGGAAGUAGAGAAACAUUAGGACCAAGUCAGCUGCUGUCUGUGGAGGGAGAAAAGUCAGUGAGGGAGGAAGCUACAUCGCUGAGGAAGAUGCUGAAGAGGGCUGGAUUCAAGAGCCAUGUCCAAGGACAGCAUGGUGUCGUAAAAACCCCACACCUUUAGACCCGGACGGAGCCAGGUUCAGAUCCUGACCUUACCGUUUAGAUUUCGUGCGGCCCUGAGUAGUUACUGACUUGUGUAAACCUCAGUGUCUUCGUCUGCACGUAGCUGAGGGGUCCUAGCUGAUCCCCCACUGGGUGGCUGUUCACAGGAUGAGUAGGGUUGCCAACCCCAUGUGGGCAUUUAUGGGCAGAGUUUUUAAAAAAGUUUUCUGGCAAUGUUUGUAAUCUGAGAGAAAGGGUGAAAAGAACAGGUCGUGGAAUUGCUUGUGUUCAGCAGCAACCUGACGUAUUAGGAUGUGAUAGAAAGAGCACUGCAGGGAGAACUGUGGGAGUCUUAACAAGUAGCCGUGUGGCUGUGGGCUGGCGACUUCCCCCUUCUAACCUCUCUUUCCUAGUCCAGAAAUGAAAGGAUUGGACGACAGGCUUCUAAAAGCUAAUUAAGUAACGACUGGGGACACACCCCUUCAUUUCUAUUCCCAGUCGUCAUUUAAACCCCAAAAUAUGUGUCAGGAACUAAGGGCCUAAUGCAGUUUAUUUUAUAUGACUUCCCAAACAACCCUAAAAUAUUAAUACUUGGCUCUUACUAAUGUCCUUAUUUUAGAGACAGUGAAAGGGAGGUACCUAGCACCGCUCCUGGCCGGCAGGCAGUAACCAUAAGCUGAAUGGCCGGAAGGAAAGGCCCCGUCAGUCGAAUGUGCCGCCUGGCACCGCCAUGGGAAUUCGGUUAGUGGACGUGAGGAAAGGCCGUGUGGGCUCUGCUGACAUCUAGAGAUUUUGUCAGUAAGCCACCCACCAAGAUUUUUGUACAUAAAUAUCUCUUUAAUUUUUUACAAAACAAAUUUUAUAGCAUAUUUUAUAUAGAAGAUUCUUUAGAACGGGAGGGAUGGAACCUCAGAGACUAGUUUGUGAAAACCCCUCUCCCUGUACAGCCGGGUAAGUGAAGCUGCGGGAGGCCAAGCUACCCAAGCUCACGCUGGACGCGGCUCAACCAGGACUGCGGGCGGGUUCCUGACCCUCGGGGUGGCCUGGCGUCAGAUAGUGUCCCUGACGCGCUCUGAGGUCCCAUAGCAGCCGUGCUGUUGCUUCCAGCGCAGUGGGAUCCCCUCCGUGGGGUGCUGGCCGUGGACACCUUCAGCGUCGGGAGCUCAGCGUGAGGAAGUCAGCAGCUCUGCACAGGGCACACUGGCGCUGUCUGAAUCGGGAUGGCCAGGGCGGGGCUCCGACCUGAUGAAAAACACAGAGGUGUUUGGAAAUUUACCCAAAUUGUUUUCCCCUCACCACCCCCCGGGGAACCCGACCGAUCCGAGCCCCUGGGACAGGCCAGGCACACGCGUUCGCCCGCACCGCCGCCUCCCGGCUGGCCUGCUUUUGGAGCAGCCCUUUGAGAACAGAGUCGGGAAAUAACACCGUGGCCUUUGCUCGGGGGCCCUGGCCGAGGCCCUGAGCCCGGCCAGAGGAAGCUGCCCGGAGAGCACACGUCUUUGUAAAGGUGACAGAAAUAUUCAGGCCAGCACUGUUUUCAAGUUGAACUUCCUUGUUGAAAUUCACUUCACACUCAAAAGAAAAGAGGGAAAUAGAGCAAUAAAACUGUUGGAAAGGAUUCAGUGGUAGAAAUACUCAGAGAAUUAUAGAUGUGUAUGAAGGCAGACACUCCGGAGCACUGAGUUCAUUUCUCUUUCUCUUAUCUGUGAAACAAGCUCUAAACCUGAAAUUGCACUGAGGAAAAAACAAACUUUGGCAAACAGUAUCCCCGGGACAUAUGUGAAGCCUUCUUGUGCACUUACCAAUCCAAGUUUUCUGAUUAAAUUGUUUUGUACAAGU